rnacentral:rRNA from 1 species
GUCGAGCGCGCCCUUCGGGGUGAGCGGCGGACGGGUGAGUAACGCGUGGGAAUAUGCCCUUCUCUAAGGAAUAGCCUCUGGAAACGGAGAGUAAUACCUUAUACGCCCUUUGGGGGAAAGAUUUAUCGGAGAAGGAUUAGCCCGCGUUAGAUUAGGUAGUUGGUGGGGUAAUGGCCUACCAAGCCUACGAUCUAUAGCUGGUUUGAGAGGAUGAUCAGCCACACUGGGACUGAGACACGGCCCAGACUCCUACGGGAGGCAGCAGUAGGGAAUCUUAGACAAUGGGGGCAACCCUGAUCUAGCCAUGCCGCGUGUGUGAUGAAGGCCCUAGGGUCGUAAAGCACUUUCGCCAGAGAUGAUAAUGACAGUAUCUGGUAAAGAAACCCCGGCUAACUCCGUGCCAGCAGCCGCGGUAAUACGGAGGGGGUUAGCGUUGUUCGGAAUUACUGGGCGUAAAGCGCACGUAGGCGGAUUAGUAAGUUAGAGGUGAAAUCCCAGGGCUCAACCCUGGAACUGCCUUUAAUACUGCUAGUCUUGAGUUCGAGAGAGGUAAGUGGAAUUCCGAGUGUAGAGGUGAAAUUCGUAGAUAUUCGGAGGAACACCAGUGGCGAAGGCGGCUUACUGGCUCGAUACUGACGCUGAGGUGCGAAAGUGUGGGGAGCAAACAGGAUUAGAUACCCUGGUAGUCCACACCGUAAACGAUGAAUGCCAGACGUCAGCAAGUAUACUUGUUGGUGUCACACCUAACGG